rnacentral:rRNA from 1 species
AGACGAAGGUGGCGACCGUUGUUCGGAAUUACUGGGCAUAAAGAGCACGUAGGCGGAGACGUAAGUCGGGUGUGAAAUCCCUCGACCCAACCGAGGAACUGCGCUCGAAACUGCGGCUCUUGAGGACAGGAGGGGAACGUGGAAUUCCUGGUGGAGCGGUGAAAUGCGUUGAUAUCAGGAGGAACACCGGCGGCGAAGGCGACGUGCUGGCCUGUUUCUGACGCUGAGGUGCGAAAGCCAGGGGAGCAAACGGGAUUAGAAACCCCAGUAGUCC